rnacentral:rRNA from 1 species
GACGAACGCUGGCGGCGUGCCUAAUACAUGCAAGUUGAGCGCUGAAGGUUGGUACUUGUACCAACUGGAUGAGCAGCGAACGGGUGAGUAACGCGUGGGGAAUCUGCCUUUGAGCGGGGGACAACAUUUGGAAACGAAUGCUAAUACCGCAUAAAAACUUUAAACACAAGUUUAAAGUUGGAAAGAUGAAUUUGCAUCACUCAAGGAUAAUCCGCGUUGUAUUAGCUAGUUGGUGAGGUAAAGGCUCAACAAGGCGAUGAUACAUAGCCGACCUGAGAGGGUGAUCGGCCACAUUGGGACUGAGACACGGCCCAAACUCCUACGGGAGGCAGCAGUAGGGAAUCUUCGGCAAUGGACGAAAGUCUGACCGAGCAACGCCGCGUGAGUGAAGAAGGUUUUCGGAUCGUAAAACUCUGUUGGUAGAGAAGAACGUUGGUGAGAGUGGAAAGCUCAUCAAGUGACGGUAACUACCCAGAAAGGGACGGCUAACUACGUG